UGUUGACAGCAGAGUUAAACAUGCACAAUAUUCCUGUUCUCGCCCCAGCUAGAGUUCACUCAUCCUGGGACUUUGAACCUGAGCUUGGGCAACAUCAAGUUCAGAUAGUGCUUAGAUAGGCUACUGGUUCUGUGAUGGAAUGUUGAGACUGACCAACGAGUUCUCUGCUCCUCUAGAUCCCGCCCUCUAACUCACCUGUCCUGAAGGAGGAAGUGAAGCUCAGUGACAGACGGCUGCUCUGUUCUCCAUUACAGCUGAGCAAUUACUCUGGAGAGAAUGGCUUCAAGUCUAGAGGAGGAUCUUACCUGUCCUGUUUGCACGGAUAUCUUCAAGGAUCCUGUUAUUCUGUCGUGUAGUCACAAUGUGUGUAAAGAAUGUCUGCAGGAGUGCUGGGAGAGCAAAGAAACCAAAGAAUGUCCAGUCUGCAGGAGGAGAUCAUCAAAGGAGGGGACACCCCCAAAUCUGGCAUUAAAGAACCUGUGUGAGACCUUCUUACUAGAGAGGAGUCAGACACACGUGUCUUGCAGUCUACACAAAAGAAAACUUGAGUUCUUCUGUCAAGAGGAUCAGCAGCUUGUGUGUCUUAUGUGUCAAGA